GUCACUUUGCCGGAGUGGUUAACGGGAUCGCCUGCUAUCAGCCAAGCGGUUGGUCUUUGACCGCGAGUGUUCGAAUCGCUCAGGUGACG